AAAAAAAAGAAAUACACUGUGAUGCUCAGUUGGGUGUAUUCACAAACAUUAUGUAGCCUAGAUCUGCCAAGGUCCCCUCUCCUGUGGACUUUUAUAAACUUAUGGCUUUUAUAUGACAUUCUAGGCCUUUAUGAAUAUUUGGAUAUUAGAUUGAUUUUUCAAAGAUUCUUAAAUGUUACAUAGUCAUUUAUUUUGAAAAAUUGAGAAAGACUUUAAAGAAAUAAAGAUCUGUCAUCACUUUAACAUUUUAAAAUGUUAGUUUCUUUUAAUUAUAAAUCUUACUACUAUGAGUUUUGUUUGGCUCUUAAGUUAUUUUCAGUAUAAGUCAGAAAUAAGGAAUAGAAUUAAUUCAAUCAACACAUCAUCCUUGAGUGCCUCUUAACAGCAUAGCAACAUAUCAGAACCACAGAGAUGUGUAAGAAGGGGUGCCUGUUCUCAGGGAACUUAAAGCCCAUUUGAAAUAGUCAUACAUAGUUUUGUCUAGUGCAGCCUCAGUGUUCAUUUGAGGAAUGAUCAUUAAAGUAUAUAUUUUUACAUUUUUAUUCCAUAUCAAUAAGUCAUAUUAAUUUCCUUAAUCGAUUGAGAACAAACACAGAGGUCUUACAUAGGAAGACUUGUUUUAGGACCAUAAACAAAAUCAGCAGCCUGUAACAAGCACUAAAUCUAACCUUGGGAAAUUAGAAUAUGUAGCAAAUUGAGAAAGACAUAUUUUUCUGAAAAAAUAGAAGGUCUUUUAUAGUAAACAUGAGAGUGUAUAAUCUAUCUGCUGGAAAAGUUCUUUAUAAAGAUUAAGUUAAAAUUAACAUGUUCAGAUAUUUACAAUGCAGUCCCGAAUGGAGCUGAUUGAAAAUAUGUGUUUCAAGUAUUUUGGGAGAUAACCUAACUGAAGUUAUAAUUUUUCCCCAGUUUUUGCUUCCACUUUUAUUUCUGGCUUGGAGGAAAAAAGAAAAAUAAGCAUACGAGAGUAGCAUGUGGCUUGUUUUGAAUUCACAUAGCUUUCAAAUAGAGGUGUUGAUUUUCAGGUGCAUUAGAACCUCAGCAUGGUGACACUGUUCUUUUAUAAAGAGUAUGCGUCUUUAGAAGUCUCCCCUGGAGUAAGGGAAGAUGAGGAAACACAAGGAAAAGUUAUUAAUUCUGUGGUGGGACAUCAAAGGAACUCAUCUGGCUUGCAUUUCAGCAAUGAGUUCACAUUAAGACAUGGACAGUAAUAUGGGAUAUAUUCUGAGAUCACAGAACUGAAAAUCUGAGAGAUACUUUAACUGUUGGAUAUAAUGAUUAUACUAACACUGGCUAAAGAGUAAGAGUUUUCCAAUCUUGAGAGAAAGACUUGUAUCAUAAAACGUGAGAAUUCUCUUUUAACUAAUAACUUGAGUUUUUAUUCACUAGAUCUUUACAUGAGCUUCAAAUUUGUGGAAAGAUUGAUUUGCUUUCCUUUUUGUCCAAAUGGUUUCUACUUCUGUAUAAAAUCUGAAUUCCUAUUUAGUCAUCUAUAAACACUGGAAGGAACAAACUAGAAGAUGUUGGAGAGAAAGGGAUAAACCCAUGUAAAAUAUGCAAGCAACUCAGAUCUUUUUCAGUCUGCAGCAAAGGCAGGUCUGACCCUCAGCAUCACUGGACGUGAGGCGGGGUCAGGAUGAUGGAACAAUGGUGGUUGAAGACAGCAGAUACCCAAGUGCCCUUGUCCUUUGACUCUUCUUCAUGAUCCUGUUUUCCAGGCCUUCUUCUGUCUGCUUACUUGACCCUUUUCUAUUUCUCUACAUCUGUCUGUAAAGUGGGGCCUGAAGUUGGAUCUGGCUGACACACCAGAGACUUGACCACCACUGACUUUACAGGGAUCAUUGGAUGUUUUUACUGUUCAUCUGCUGUCAGCCCUCUGGUCUGGAACUGAUUAUUUAGGGAAAAUUGGUGGAGCCAUCUGGAAACAUGAACAACUUGAGUUUCUGUCUGAUUUCUAAUGCAUGUUUUGAUUGAUGCUAAUUACACGGUUCAUUUCAUUAUUGUUUCUGUUUAUUGUUAGAAAAGAAA